GGAAACGUGAGGAUGUGCCUGUCCCUCCUUGCAGCCUGCUCUGGCUGGCCCUGCACACAUUUGGGACAGGAAUGCAAAUAUCUGGGAUUACCCAGAAGAUGAAACAACUGAAGCCAGCAUCUCACCAUCCCACACGCAACCAAUUCCAUUCCUGAAGAGGCCAUGGGAAUGGAUUUUGUUAGCAGUUUUUAUGGAGUGCUUCAAAUAUCAUUUGUUCAGUGGAAGCAGCCAUUGCUCAAGAAGGAAAGAGAUGUAUGCCUGUUAUAGCAUCAGACACCACUUACACUGACUCACCCGUCUGCAUUGUCUUCAUCCAGAUUGCAAACAACAAAGAAC
rnacentral:lncRNA from 1 species